GCGCGAAACCUCCGCAAUGCGAGCAAUCGCGACGGGGGGACCCCAAGUGCUACUCUUAACGGGGUAGCUUUUCUAAAGUGUAAAAAGCUUCAGUAAUAAGAGCUGGGCAAGACCGGUGCCAGCCGCCGCGGUAACACCGGCAGCUCAAGUGGUGGCCACUUUUAUUGGGCCUAAAGCGUUCGUAGCCGGCCUGAUAAGUCUCUGGUGAAAUCCCGCAGCUUAACUGUGGGAAUUGCUGGAGAUACUAUCAGGCUUGAGGCCGGGAGAGGCUGGAGGAACUCCCAGGGUAGGGGUGAAAUCCUAUAAUCCUGGGAGGACCACCUGUGGCGAAGGCGUCCAGCUGGAACGGACCUGACGGUGAGUAACGAAGCCAGGGGCGCGAACCGGAUUAGAUACCCU
rnacentral:rRNA from 1 species